rnacentral:rRNA from 1 species
GAGUUUGAUCAUGGCUCAGGACGAACGCUGGCGGCGUGCUUAACACAUGCAAGUGGUGCGACGAACCAGGGCUUGCCCUGGGGCAAAGCCGCGAACGGGUGAGUAACACGUGGGUAACCUGCCCCGAUGACCGGGACAACCCGAGGAAACUCGGGCUAAUACCGGAUGUGGCGCACAGGCUUAAGCCUGUUCGCUAAAGGAAGCUUCGGCCUCCGCAUUGGGAGGGGCCCGCGGCCCAUUAGCUUGUUGGUGAGGUAACGGCUCACCAAGGCGUUGACGGGUAGCCGGCCUGAGAGGAUGGCCAGCCACAUUGGGACUGAGACACGGCCCAAACUCCUACGGGAGGCAGCAGUGGGGAAUAUUGGACAAUGGGCGCAAGCCUGAUCCAGCCAUGCCGCGUGAGUGAUGAAGGCCUUAGGGUUGUAAAGCUCUUUUGGCGGGGACGAUAAUGACGGUACCCGCAGAAUAAGCCCCGGCUAACUUCGUGCCAGCAGCCGCGGUA